ACUUACUACCUUAUUUUAUGUUAUGUGUAAUUUUGCGUUUGAUUUCAUAUAUAUAUAUAUAUGUUUGAAUAUAAUUAGAGUACUAGUGAAAUUGACAUUCAUGGCUAGUAAUAGAUUGAAUUGAAAUGUUAUGUGAGGGUUGGUUAUUUUAUGGUCAUGUACAGGGUACAAUAUGAAUUAUGGUUGAUUACACGGAUUGGUAAUGAUAUAUAUAUAAGGAAAUGAUGUUCGUGUGAACUUAGUAAAAGGUUAGGAUACGAAUGAUAUGCCAAUAGGGUUAUACGCGCACUUGUUAAGAGAUUUUACAUGUUAUAACAUGAUUUAGCAUCUAUUGCAAAUUUUUGGGCUAUGUAUAACAUAGUUUUAGCCCAGACAGGUAAACUAAUGUAAUUUCAACUUGUGUGAGCAACUUAAUUCACCUGUGUAUCCGAGUCCAUUUUACUAUAGUACCAUCAAGCGAUAUUUAUCUUAAUUGAAAUAGAAAGACUUGAAAAUGUAUUGAUAAGAAAUGAUAUAUGUUUAUAACUUGCUAUGUGACAUGAAGUUGCUUUGAUAUUAAGUGAUGUUAUUCAUGAUAUGCAUGUGUGUCUAAUCUAUUUGAAUGGUAAUGUUGGAAAGUGACUAGUUAAGGCAUUGUAAUGCCCCGAAUUUGCACCUAGAAGUAUUAGGUAUUGAGCAUGGAAAUAGUUAGGAGGCGGCACAUAAAUAAUUAAUUAUGUAAGAAGUGACACAAAUGCAUGUUUGUCUCAAUGGUUAAGUGUUCUGGGAAGUGCCUGAGAAGUUUGGGGUUCAAGCCUAAGCAGGUGCAAAAAAGUUUUGCUUUUGAAGGAAUAAGCACUGUCUCUGGGCAAUAGGCUUUUAAACAAUUGUGGGGAUAACAUGUCAUAAAAAGCCUGCUAGCCUAGUGGUAAGUGGUGUGUGGAGUGUGCUAGUGGUCUGAGGUUCGAAUCCCUGUUUGUGCAAAUAGAGAUUAUUUUUACUGUUAGCUAUGGGAGGUAGUAGAGUUUGACUGAAACACUGCAGAGUGGAGUGGAGUUUGAAUUGGUCAUGGAGGGAGUUAAAGAGAGAUUUUAGGAGGAAAUUAAGGGGUUUUGAAGUAGAUAGAGUGUUGGAGCCGAAUUGGGAGUGUAGGCACUUGUGAGUUCGACUUUGGGGAGGAAAGAAUUCAGCUGUGCAAAAAUCACUCUCAUUUUCCUGUUAUUCUUUUGGUUCUUUUUCUCUGUGAAUCGAAAUAUAGCAUUUUGGGUACCUUUUUUUCUUAUGGCCUGUUCCAAAAUUGCACUUUUCUUCUGAGCCGGAUACUCCAUUUUUUUCUAUCUCAACUCUUUUAAGUCUAACAAUUCUCCUCUUUUGGUGCUUAGCUACCUUGGCCAAUUCUCCUUCUUCUUCUUCACUCCCAAUCGGUUUUGUUGUGCCAAUCAUCUCUCCUUGUAGCCGAACCUUUCCUUCUCCAUAAACAUCUUUCACUUCUCUUCUCUCCUUUCUCUGCUUACUCUCAAUUUUUCCCCUCUUCUUUUUAAGGCUUGGCCGAAUAUUACUGCUCUUAUUGCUCCACUGUGCCGACUUUUCCCUUCAUUGUUAUCUGUCAUUUCUAUAGUCACUGCUAUUCUUCGGAUUUGCAUUUUAGGGGUGUGAUUGUUUCACCUUGCGUCUAUCAUUCUGUGUACUGUCGGCUCUGGUGUGGGUGUAGGCCGAUUGCCCCUUACCUCUAGUCUUGGCUUGGAGUUUUCAAUAAUCCCUUAAGGCAAAAGGAUUGGGCUUAUGCAAUGAAGUAAGUGGGCAAGCCUAAACCGACUAAUUCAGACGUGUGAUAGGUGGAGUACUCGUGGGCAUUCGCACGUCUUCGUGAACAAGGCAAAUCAGUGCUGCGAGGGACCCGGAGGUGGACACACAACAGCUUACGCUUUUGAAUUUAUCUUUUAAUUUAUAAGUAGUUUUAUUUGGGUAUUUUUAUGUAAAAGGCCUUUUUUAAGUUUUAUUCUUUAAUUUGGGCUUUUAUUAUUACAUUAUGAUUUAUACCUGUUAGUGGUACGAUACGGGUUUUCAAAA